rnacentral:rRNA from 1 species
AAUAGAUACCCCGGUAGUCCACGCCGUAAAACGAUGUCGACUUGGAGGUUGUUCCCUUGAGGAGUGGCUUCCGGAGCUAACGCGUUAAGUCGACCGCCUGGGGAGUACGGCCGCAAGGUUAAAACUCAAAUGAAUUGACGGGGGCCCGCACAAGCGGUGGAGCAUGUGGUUUAAUUCGAUGCAACGCGAAGAACCUUACCUACUCUUGACAUCCAGAGAACUUAGCAGAGAUGCUUUGGUGCCUUCGGGAACUCUGAGACAGGUGCUGCAUGGCUGUCGUCAGCUCGUGUUGUGAAAUGUUGGGUUAAGUCCCGCAACGAGCGCAACCCUUAUCCUUUGUUGCCAGCGGUCCGGCCGGGAACUCAAAGGAGACUGCCAGUGAUAAACUGGAGGAAGGUGGGGAUGACGUCAAGUCAUCAUGGCCCUUACGAGUAGGGCUACACACGUGCUACAAUGGCGUAUACAAAGAGAAGCGACCUCGCGAGAGCAAGCGGACCUCAUAAAGUACGUCGUAGUCCGGAUUGGAGU